CCAACGGGAUGACAACAGAACGUACUCACAAAGUCUAAGUCUGGUUAAAACGUGAAAUAAUCACUGAUCGCGAAGAUGUUACUCUUUAAUCGAUGAGAUCGCGAGCGAGAGUGACUUUCCCGUCCCGAUGAUGCCACAGAGGAAAACUAUAUUGGGGUGUGUCUAAGGACACGAGAUCAUCGGAUUCGUCGAGAAAAGCCUUCGUUCAGAAAUUUCCAGAUAAAAUACAAAGUAAGGAAAAUUUGAAUCCUAAUACUAUGGAAAAAGAUCCAGAUUUAUCAUCAUUUAGCAGUUUGUACAAAAAGUUAAUUAGUUGUUAAGUCAGAUAAGAAUAGUCUCCAGGAAUUUUAAAAUGUAUAUGCGCAUCACUGCAGUGUCAGAUACAACGGUGCAAUUAGAAGAAGAUAAGAUAAUGAAUGAUGAAGAUAAGAAGAAGAUAAUGAAUUUCCAAAAAAAGCUAAAGUACAUUUAAAUUAUAUUUUUAUAACUUCAUCUGUACAAUGAUGUUGUUAAAACCUUAACUUUUUUGUUGAAACAGGUUGAUGGAAUAAAUUUCCUGGUUGCCAUUAACACAAAGUCCAAUUGUCUAAAAAUGUAAUUUGUGAUAAAGUAUAACAUUUUUUUUAACAUUUAUUUAUUUCCAUGUAUUUUUCUUUAUUUGUGAUCCAUGUCUUCUGACUUUAGAUAAUUUCUAAUUAUAUCUACAAUAUUUAUUAACUUUAUGAAUAUAUAAAUUUUAUUUUAUGGCCUAUGAGAAACAAUUUGAAUCUGUUUAAUACAAAUAAAUUCAGGUGGAAAUGUUACCACUCCGGGGACAGGCUGCUUUGACGAGCACAUAGCCUGAUUUCUUUGAUGUUUUUGGAGCGAUUGAAAAAGAUUCAAAGCAAUCAAUGUUAUAUGUAAUAUAUAGAUAACGAUUUUGUAUUAUUUAAGCAUUAAAUACUUUCAUAACUUUUUGUUUAUAGCAUUCACUGCUUUUUUUACUGUUUUAUUUAACAGUAGAAAAAUUUUUAUAAGAUACCGUAUGAAGUAUGAAAGAUGCGAAUUCGCGUCUCAGGCCUCAGAGUGUUAAUGUAUGUGAUAUUAUUAAUAUAUUUGAGAAUUUAAUAAUGUAGUAUGAGAAUUAUUAAUAUAUUUGAAUAAAAAUGCUAAAAAAAGAAACCACGUCAUAAAAAAGGAGCAAAAUUGCACCGUUUGUUUAAAUGGAAUGUUUUAAAUGUACAAUAAACAUAAAUAUGUAUAGAACAUUAAACAUAAACUAUAGAAUGUCUUAUUUA